UGCAGCGACUUGAACCUUCCUAUAUCAAUGAACAACCAAGGUGCUAUAAAAGGGCUAAGAAAGAAGUUGUUGGAACACUACCCAGUGUGUUUUGUGUGUGUGUGUCUGUCUGUCUGUGUCUCUCUGUGUGUAUCUCUAUGUGUGUCUCUGUGUGUCUGUGUGAGUGUGUGUGUCUGUGUGAGUGUGUGUGUCUGUGUGAGUGUGUGUCUGUCUGUCUGUCUGUCUGUGUCUCUGUGUGUAUUUCUGUGUGUGUCUGUGUGACUGUGUGUGUCUGUCUGUCUGUGUCUCUGUAUGUCUGUGUGAGUGUGUGUGUGUGUGUGUGUGUGUGUGUGUGUGUGUAUGUGCCUGUUUUACAUCCUUUCCAACUCCACACCUCCUUGGAUUGCUGAACACAUUCUAGAACUGACCUCCAGCACCAAAGACUCUGUGGAGCAGCCACACAGACAGCCUGCAGCACACACCCCUGACUGAGAUGUUGACUCAACAACCAUGUAUACAGCUGCUCUCUCUCACCAGUGGAUGCGUCAUCUUGACCACAGAUCUUCUUUAUAGCCAACCAUGCCUAGCUCACAGCAUGUUAGCAAGGGCAGCAUUUAUCAACCUUUCUUUUGAAAGUCACUGGGUCUUCAGGUGGUCUGACUGACAGCAGCAGAUAACUGAUGCUCUGCUAGCUGUUCAGUCCAAGUUUACAGGACUUCUUCACACCUCUUACCCAGUUUUCAUUAUCAGUUGAUGCCAA
rnacentral:lncRNA from 1 species